AUGCGUGCGCACGACCUGCGGAGACCGGUCGUGGAGUCCACUGCGUCCCUACUUCGCUUCGGGGUCAGCGCGAGGGCCAGACAGGCCUGGCAGACCGUGGACGACUUCGGAAGGCCAAGGCGGCCAGCCGGCUAGACUACAUGACCUACACUUGGAGGUUCUUCUCUCUAUUCCUGCAAAAAGAAACCCAUGGGGAGAUCCAGCAGGACUCUUCGUGUCAUGAGGACUAAAACUCAUUCCUGAGGAAGAAUGGAGGAGCUGCCUCUCAGAAGCAAGGCUUUAAAUCAGUGGUUUCCAAAAAUUAUUCUAGAACUCAGAAACAGGAUGAAGUUUUCAUCACGGAAUAAGAGAAAAUAAGGUCAAUAUGCUCUCCAACUGCUUCUACUGUCUGCUUGUCUCUUCUGACCGUCCUAUCAGGGCAACUGUUCUGAAUUCCUGGGAGAAUGGUGGUGUCCUGGAGGGCAGUGCUUUGGGCCUCGGCCUUCAGCUUGUCUUUGGGAUUUUGGUCAUCAGAACUCAUCCUCAAUUUAAUGACCUUCAAUGGAUGGGAGGCCAGAGUCAGGACGUGGGUGCAAAACCAUUUCCGCCAAAUUUUAUAAGAUGGGAGAUUCUCCAUUGGACCACUUUUGGGACAUCAAGACAGCUAAACUUAAAGAAUCACCCAGCAGAGAGGUCUCCACUGCAAGAGGAGGCGUAG
ensembl:lncRNA